UGGGGAAUAUUGCGCAAUGGGGGAAACCCUGACGCAGCGACGCCGCGUGGAGGACGAAGGUCUUCGGAUUGUAAACUCUUGUCUUCAGGGACGAAACAAAUGACGGUACCUGAGGAGGAAGCCCCGGCUAACUACGUGCCAGCAGCCGCGGUAAUACGUAGGGGGCUAGCGUUGUCCGGAAUUACUGGGUGUAAAGGGCGUGUAGGCGGGUAGCCAAGUCAGAUGUGAAAUACCACGGCUCAACUGUGGGGCUGCAUCUGAAACUGGAUAUCUUGAGUGCAGGAGAGGAAAGCGGAAUUCCUAGUGUAGCGGUGAAAUGCGUAGAUAUUAGGAGGAACACCAGUGGCGAAGGCGGCUUUCUGGACUGUAACUGACGCUGAGGCGCGAAAGCGUGGGGAGCGAACAGG
rnacentral:rRNA from 2 species